rnacentral:rRNA from 1 species
GAUGAACGCUGGCGGCGUGCCUAACACAUGCAAGUCGAGCGAAGAGGGGACGGGUGAGUAACACGUGGAAAACCUCCGAUGAGGCUGGAAAAACUUGGGGAAACGGGAGCUAAACCGGUAACUUCUAGGUGGAUCCGCGCUGCAUGAGCUAGUUGGUAAGGUAACGGCUUACCAAGGCAACGAUUCAUAGCCGACGUGAGAGGGUGAUCAGCCACACUUGAACUGAGACACGGUCCAGACUCCGACGAGAGGCAGCAGUAGGGAAUCUUCCGCAAUGGGCGAAAGCCUGACGCAGCAACGCCGCGUGUGUGAUGAAGGUCUUCGGAUCGUAAAACUCUGUUAGUAGGGAAGCGGUACCUAAUCAGAAAGCCACGGCGAACUACGUGCCAGCAGCCGCGGUAAUUC